rnacentral:misc_RNA from 1 species
AUGAUAAUAUUCGUUCACUCAUGCAUUAUUCGAUCUUACUUACCACAUUCUAUCGGGCGUUCUACGAUCUGCUAUCGUGUGUUCAAAUGGAUUUGUCAAUCAUCAGAUAGAAAAUUGUGUAGAUGUGAAUAUUGGGUACAAAAACGUGCAUAUAAAUUGCAAAUGCUUAUCAUAAUGACUAUUUGUUUUGUGACCUGCUACAAUUUAAUCCUGGAGUAUUGAGGUGUUUAUUUGGAAGGUGUACACUUAAACGAGAGGUAAAAGAGCAGGUCGAUAUCCAAAGACAAUGUCAGGAUCAACACCCAGCCGUUUCAGCCCCGCAACCGGUGAAUCUGAACCCGCAACAACUUGUGGUUGUGGUGAGCCUUGUUGCAGAACACCAUUGUUCCGUGUUUGCGCAGCGAAGGAGCAUUUUGGCUGAUGAAUCGCUGCACUGUCAGACAGUGUUGAACAAAAUGGUGAGUUGGCUCCGAUGUAGAGCAUUUAUAACGACUUGGGAGACCACGUUUCAGCAAAUGUUAAAAUAACGAUGGUUAAUGGCGAAUUCAAAGAGUAAACAGUAUUGUUACGCUAAGAUCACAUUAGUAACAGUCAAGAUCAGAGUUUUCUUGUUACUGAAGCAGAAUGAUAGCUAAAAUUUAAGUCAAAGGCUCCGGCCAAAAAGAUAGAUUCAUUGCCGGUCCUUAAUGUACAUGAGUAUCUAUAUAUACCGUGCGCAAGAAAAUGUUAUGACUUUAGUUUUCAAGGUAUUUGUUCCAAAUUUGCUUGUGUAUACGAACAUAGCUGUACGCGUUGUCAUGGGAAGGACUCUAGGAAGUGUAUUUAUUUAUUUUUUCAGAAUCACUAGUAGCUACCAAUCAAUAUCGUUCUAGGUACUCGUCACUUGGACCUCGUGGAAUCUUCAGAUAGCCAAAACCGGCAUCUCAAAGAGGGUCACUUAAACCUCCAUUCCCUCACCAAAACCUUUAUUGACUUAGCAGUAUUACAAGUCUAUCUUUCUUUAUAUCCAAAUAAAUAAGUGGCAGCUGAAUUUUUAGAGGGUUCUAACAAAGGGUUUCGAUUACAAAACCAGCGCCCUAGAGUCCAAACGUCAUGUCAAACUUUAAUUUCUGUUAGGCAAAACUCUGCUGUAGCUAAUGAGAAAGUUAUGUAGGAAGAGCAGUUAAGCAGAAUUGCGGUUCCUUUUAAAGAAAUGCCUGUUCCAAAUUUCAGGCAAUCCGCGAUCAGUCUUGUGGCCAAAAAGAUGGUAGCUCGAGGAUUAUACGCCAUCUUUCCUUCCCGCAGGGAACCCCACAGGGUUCAAGUUUGAAUGAUUUUAUUGAUAAGUCUUCUUCCUCAGUUCAGUACACUUCUUUAGACAGAGUGACGGAGCUAUUGCUUCAUUAGUGCAAUAUUGCGAAAUGGCUAAAGUUGGCAUCAAAUCUGCCUUUCGCCUUUUGAGGUUCAUGAUUAUGAUUUUGAAAUUAUUAGCCUUCAAAUUAGGAGGGGAUUAUUUUACUGACAAGACGUUACCUAUGAGUGUGCAAUCUUUUGCUGCCAUAGGGAAAAGUUUGCUAAUUUAUUACAAUAGCUGGUCCGGUACAAGAGGAAAUCCGAAAGGCUGUUUUUAUUACUUGAUAAUUAUGUUUGUUUGUUUGUUUGGCUCGCUCUAAUUCAGGGAAUGUAUGACCAAUUUGUUUUUUUUUUUAUAGAUAAAUGCCUUAACAUACCCGUAGCAAAAAAAAAUGCAAGCCUAAAUUGAUCUUUUAAUUUCUGUAGCAGAGCCAUCCCCUUUCUAGAUUAUUUAGAAGUGGUUUCUAUGCUAUUAUGUGCAAUUUGGUUAAAAGUUCACAUCAUUUAAGAGUGACCAGUUCAAUAACAGAUGAUAUGGUUAUCAUUUUGUUUGACAGUUUUAAUGGUUACUGCAGCUUCCACGACUUACACUGAUUGGAUAGUUCUGUCCUAAACUUCUUUACGGAUAGCACUGGCGUACAUGAACUAGGACGCGCAGCUUUUUCGAAGUAGUUUGAUUUUCUACAUUUGCCUUCUAUAGGACAGACGCUUGUUUAUGCAAUAACGUAACCUUUUUAUAUUUUAAUAUUAUAAAAUAAUAAUAUUAUUAUAUAUUUAGUGCCGAUCGUGUCAGCUUUACUUGCAUGCACAGUCGACUUGCACCUUACUCCACUUUUAGCCCAUCUUUUAAUCAAGAAUGUAGCUCGUCAUAAAACAUGUCUGUAAAUCUCGGACAUUUCUUCUAUUGUAAAAUAAAUAGUCUUGAAUAUCUUACUUAAAGAUUUAUGUUACGCUGAAUGCUUAUCAGUUUUGAUAGGUUGCAUCGGACAAUUGACAUCAGGCAACCUAUAACGCUUGAUUUACUUCGUAAACUUAUACAGGUGACAAAUACUGUUUGCUCGUCUAUAUUUUAGGCAUUACAGUUUUCAGCAGUAAUUUUCCUGACCAUUUUGAUUUUUAAGGAUAUGUGAGCUUGUACACACGAACUCAAACUCCUCGAAUAUAAGCGCUAAAGGUCACGCAUUAUGUGAGGGAGACGUUAGUAUUGUAAGUAUUGGUGUACUUCGCAUAAUUCUUCAUUCAUCAAAGGACGAUCAGAAAAAAGGCGAAUGAGUAGCUAUUCAUUUACAACCUUGCACAUUGAGAUAUAUGGUUGUUCGAUCAGCUAGUGCUUCAAACUAAUUAUUUGUUUGUUUAUUUAAACGGUCUACCCGUCAUACGCUGUCAGUUUAGUGUGUUCUAAAGAAAUCUUUGACUGCCAUUCCAUAUAAACCACAUUUAUUCAGAGUAGGUGCUGCAACAGCAGCAUGACUGCUUGCGAUAUUACAAGAAUGGGGCGUUGCGCCCCGGAUUCAAGUGCAUUUAAAUCUUACAUUAGAAUCCUCUCACAUCAGCUGUUGUCACUCAGGUCUUAAGCCUAUAAGCAGUUUCAUUGUACUUGCCAUAUGUUGCCCUUUUUUGUUGACAAUUGUUUUCAGCUUUUCAGCGUCAUAAUGCGACCAUACUGUGUCAGAGUCAGGAUGGUAUGAAAUGGCGGCAAGUUAAACCAUUAAUCUUACACUUGUUUCUUUUUGAAGACAAUCAAGGUAUCAUUGUUAUUCAUUGAGUAAUUAAUUUAUUUUUCAUAAGAGAGAGCUAGAAAACGUGUUAAUAAUUUCGCUGCUCAUUUUUUUUUUUACUUACAUUGGUGGAUACGUUCGUUAACCAGAAAUCGUCGAAUCCGUGACGGGUCUCUUCAACAGGGAUGGGGUGCACUUGUCAUAAUUUGGAAAUAUUUUGUUUUUAUUCACUCUGCAACACAAGCUUCAGUCCUUUUUAGCAGUAAAUUAUUAAGGCACAGCUUCUCAGGCAGGGUUUGCUUCGCUAUACUGGUGGCGGUUGUCAAGAAUUUUCCACGUUGUUCCAAAUUCUCGACAUGUGGCGGUUAGGUCAGCCUCCACCAGUAUAUCUUAACGUUGUGUAAUAAGAAGUUUGUUUGUUUGUUUCAAGUGUACUGUAUUAGGCCUCUGUUCACAGGGCCUCCACAUCUG